AUGGUAUCUUUUAGGGUGAGAGCAAAUAUACAAAAUUUAAAAAACAUACUCCGCAGUUAACUCAUGAUAGAAGAUAACAGCGAUAGUUUUUCAUUAAAAAUAAACAGAAGUAACUCUGGAUAUGAGUUACACAAAAUAAGAUUAUAAGCACAGUAGCUGUGAUUUUAACUUUUCUUCUCUUCCAAAUGGGGAUUUCCCAGGAUGUCUCAAAUGGGCAGGCUCUGACUAAGACCUGUGGCAGAUCAGCCUUGCUCUGCUGCUGGAGCACUUUCAGCUGGAAGGUGCCAUGUGGUGAAGGAGCUCUUUAGUGACAGGAAGUGACUGGGUGCGAGAAGGUUUAUAGGGCUCCACUUCGGGCGACAAGGAAGUACGAGACUGACUGUAAAUGAUUUGGGGACUGUCCCCACAGAUUCUUCUCGGUGCAUUCUUGGCUGGAUCCCUGUGUAUUUCCUCUUUGCUUUGUUGAUGUGCCGGGUCGCUGUACUGAUGCUGCACACCUGAGCCCAACUUCCUGCAUCUGUGCCCAGGUGGACGGUGCCGGCAGAGCAGCCAACUCGAAGCAGAGAUGAAGUGCAGCUGUGGGUGCUGGUGUGAGCCCCAGUGAGAGAUUCCUGGAACUCCAGCCCAGCCGGCCAUCCGAGUCCUCCGUCCGCUCACCGAGCUGUGCUGGAAACUAACCUGUCACGGUGGAACUGAGCCCGAGGGAGGUGCCACAAAGUGAAACUGGCUUCUGGAUCUGCCGGGUGAGAGUGAAAGUAAAGGUCACUUUUUGGUCCCCUGAGACCAAGACGCGACGGCAGCUCAUCCCUCAGCCCCGCAUCCUUCCUUCCAAGCCCCGGAUCACGCAGACCUUACAGAGUCUUCAUACAGAGUGGUGAACACCACCAGUUUCUCAUCUGUGUUCAUGAGCUGUCCGCACGGAAUCUAAAAGAAAAAAAAAAAAUGAAGGACGUGAGGCUCAGACGUGUCUCAAAUGAAGUUUACUAUCCCAGCCAGAUGCGAGAAGACAGACCACAAGCUUACCUUCUGCCGGGUCCUAAUCAAAGUGACAAAGGAGACAAUUGGACAAAAGAUACUCUGCAAUCAAAGGGCUUCUCUUUCAAGUGGAAGCAAAUAAAUAAAAUAAAGCCCACCCUGAGGACACAGGCCUUGUCAA